GAUGAAGAACGUAGCGAAAUGCGAUAAGUAGUGUGAAUUGCAGAAUUCCGUGAAUCAUCGAAUCUUUGAACGCACAUUGCGCCCGCCAGUAUUCUGGCGGGCAUGCCUGUUCGAGCGUCAUUUCAACCAUCAAGCCCCCGGCUUGUGUUGGGGACCUGCGGCUGCCGCAGGCCCUGAAAACCAGUGGCGGGCUCGCUAGUCACUCCGAGCGUAGUAAUACAUCUCGCUCAGGGCGUGCUGCGGGUUCCGGCCGUUAAAAAGCCUUAUUUACCCAAGGUUGACCUCGGAUCAGGUAGGAAGACCCGCUGAACUUAAGCAUAUCAAUAAGCGGAGGA
rnacentral:misc_RNA from 1 species